CCGGCGCUACUCCACUGCCAUUAGUGCCGGGACCGCUCAAUAAAGGAGGUACAGAACAAGACCGCAUGGCUCGCGGUGCGGCAGUGUGGAGACCUGUCGUAAUGCCUCCGCCACAUAUGCGGGCGGAAGCGAGGUGGGCAGUUGAUGAAGUUCGUGCCCAUCAGAGCCGGGAACACAUGGCA
rnacentral:ncRNA from 1 species